rnacentral:rRNA from 2 species
CUUCAUUAGCUUGCUUUUGAAGAUCAGCGGCGGACGGGUGAGUAACACGUGGGCAACCUGCCUGUAAGACUGGGAUAACUUCGGGAAACCGGAGCUAAUACCGGAUAAUCCUUUUCCUCUCAUGAGGAAAAGCUGAAAGACGGUUUCGGCUGUCACUUACAGAUGGGCCCGCGGCGCAUUAGCUAGUUGGUGAGGUAACGGCUCACCAAGGCGACGAUGCGUAGCCGACCUGAGAGGGUGAUCGGCCACACUGGGACUGAGACACGGCCCAGACUCCUACGGGAGGCAGCAGUAGGGAAUCUUCCGCAAUGGACGAAAGUCUGACGGAGCAACGCCGCGUGAGCGAUGAAGGCCUUCGGGUCGUAAAGCUCUGUUGUCAGGGAAGAACAAGUAUCGGAGUAACUGCCGGUACCUUGACGGUACCUGACCAGAAAGCCACGGCUAACUACGUGCCCGCAGCCGCGGUAAUACAUAAGUGGCAAGCGUUGUCCGGA